rnacentral:rRNA from 1 species
UGAGGAAUUUUCCGCAAUGGGCGAAAGCCUGACGGAGCAAUGCCGCGUGGAGGAAGAAGGACCGUGGUUCGUAAACUCCUGUUCUCAGAGAAGAAGAUCUGACGGUAUCUGAGGAAUAAGCUCCGGCUAACUCUGUGCCAGCAGCCGCGGUAAUACAGAGGGAGCAAGCGUUAUCCGGAAUAAUUGGGCGUAAAGCGUCUGUAGGUGGUUUAGAAAGUCUACUGUCAAAUCCCAAGGCUCAACCUUGGCCAGGCAGUGGAGUACUUCUAGACUUGAGUGUGGUAGAGGUAGAGGGAAUCCCUAGCGUAACAGUGAAAUGUGUAGAUUUUAGGGAGAACACCAGCGGCGAAGGCGCUCUACUGGGCCAUGACUGACACUGAGAGACGAAAGCUACAGGAGCGAAUAGG